GACAGAGGGUGCAAACGUUGUUCGGAAUUACUGGGCGUAAAGCGUGUGUAGGCGGCUAUGUAAGUCGGAUGUGAAAGCCCCGGGCUUAACCCGGGAAGUGCACUCGAUACUGCGUGGCUUGAGUAUCGGAGAGGUUGGUGGAAUUCUCGGUGUAGAGGUGAAAUUCGUAGAUAUCGAGAGGAACACCGGUGGCGAAGGCGGCCAACUGGACGAAUACUGACGCUGAGACACGAAAGCGUGGGGAGCAAACAGG
rnacentral:rRNA from 1 species